CAGCAGCCGCGGGAAUACGGAGGGGGCUAGCGUUGUUCGGAAUUACUGGGCGUAAAGCGCACGUAGGCGGCUUGGUAAGUUAGAGGUGAAAGCCUGGAGCUCAACUCCAGAAUUGCCUUUAAGACUGCCGAGCUAGCAGGUGAGAGAGGUAAGUGGAAUUCCGAGUGUAGAGGUGAAAUUCGUAGAUAUUCGGAAGAACACCAGUGGCGAAGGCGGCUUACUGGCUCAUACUGGACGCUGAGGCGCGAAAGCGUGGGGAGCAAACAGGAUUAGAUACCCGUGUAGUCCCUGUCUCUUAUAA
rnacentral:rRNA from 1 species